GUUUAUUUGCUGAGGUCGGUAUCACCUCUUUCACCGCAUGAUUCACGAGACUGAGAAAGGAACAGUCACCGUGAAACCCUCUGAGGACAAAUGGCACGUUACCAAGGAAAGGGCAGAGUUCAGAAAGAGUGUGACAGUCUUCCCAGGCCAGCCGGGUGUGCGGGAUGACUGCCUUCUGUGGCUUCCGGGGACCCCGUCAGAGGCGACUCCUACUCUGCUCAGGUGGAAUGGAGCAGGCUCCCUGGAUGACUACUCUGAUGGAACUGAAAUUCUCCUGGGAUAGGCAGUUUGUUGGCUUCUUGCUCCAGUGUCUCCUUACACCAUCUCUUCACCUAUCCAUGGACACUAAUCUCUGAGCAGCUUUGACUGUGAACUAACUGCGCUGAUCUAAAGAAAAAAAGAAAACCCACACAAACCAAGCCUUAUAAUGAGCAUUGUGAGAACACUCGACUACCUUCAGAAUGAGACCAAUGCAGCCUGCCCUCUUACGUCAUUCAUACUGAAUGGGUGUCACCCCCAGACUUCAAGCUAUUUUAAUAUGCCUUUCAAGUCACUUUCUUGUCCACUUCAGCCCUCUGUGGAACCACCACUAUCAUUGUUCUGUCAUUAUUGAUGCCCCUAACAGAUUCAUCCUCCCUAUCCUCACAUUCUGGUUGAAAAAGGUAAAGGGGACAUAUAAAUAGAGAAUACAGCAAAAUAGCAAGCACAACAACAACUCACAAGAUAAAGAAUGUGAACUGCAAAGAAUCCCACAGAUAGAAAGUACUGGAAGAAAAAGAAGAGAAGAAAUUUCAGCCAGAGGUGAGCAGAAAAGGAAGGACUUUAGUGUGGGUGUGAGUGAUAAAGGUGAUGAAGCAAGGUGCAUCUGCUCAAAGGAAAGUGAGCUCUUCAGUCAAAACUAGUCUGCUCAUACAAAGCAAUAAAACCCAAACCGCAUGCUACUGGCACAAAACAGAUACACUGACCGUGAAUAGUAUAGCGUAUCCAGAAAUAAAUCCAAGCAUCUAGAGCCAAAUGAGUUUUUGACAAAAGCAGCAAGAAGACACACUGGGGAAAAACAUUCUUUCACCAAUGAAUGGUGCUGAGCAAACUGGAUAUCCCACAUGCCAAGAAUGAAACUAGAUCCCUCACUCACUUGUUACAAAACUCACCUCUCAAAGAAUUAGAGGCUUAAAUGUAAGACUUGCAACUAUGAAUGUACUAAAAGAAAACAUAGAAAAAUGCUUUAUGCCAUUAGUCUGAGGAGGGACUUAUGAGAUCUCAGAAACACAAAACAAAGACAAAAAAUAGACAAGCAAGAGUAUAUCAAACUAAAAAUCUUCCACAUUGCAAAGGAAACAACAAAGUGGAAAGACCAUCUGUGGGACAAGAGAGAAUAUUUGCAGAGUAUGCACCUGACAAGAAGUUAAUAUCCAAAAAUAUAAGAACUCAAACAUCUCAAUAGCAGGAAUAAUAAUAAGAACCUGAUUUAAAAUGGGCAAAAAUUUGAACAGACCUUUCUCAAAAGAAGAUAUACAAAUGGCCAACUGGUUUACAAAAUAGACUGUCAACAUCAUCAGGGAAAUACAGCUCAAGACAAUAAAAUAUCAUUUCACUCCAGUUAGAGGGACUAAUAGUAAAAAGACCGGAAAUAACAAACGCUGGCAAAGAUGUGCAGAAGGGAGAAUCCUUAUACAGUGUUAGUAGGAAUAUAAAUUAGUAUAGUCAUUAUGAAAAACAGUAUGCAGUUGACUCAAAAAACUAAAAAUAGCACCAUUGGGUCCCUCUACUGGACAUAUAUUUACCCAAAGGAAAUGAAAUCAGCAUAUAAAAAGAUUUAUGGGUGCCCACAUCUAUAACAAAUAGCUAUUUUCCCAAAUAGCCAAGAUUUAAAAUCAAUCUAAAUUUCCAAUAACAGAUGCAUGUAUAAGGAAAACAUAGCAUAUAUAUAAAGUGAAAUACCAUUCAACCAAUGAAAGAUGAAAUUCCAUCACUUGCAACAACAUGGAUGGACCUAAGAACAUUUAUAUUUAAGAGAAAUAGACCAGUCUGAGAAAGACAAUAUCAUACAUGUUGACUCAUAUGUGGAGUCUGAGAAAGUUGACCAUAUUAAUGUACUGAAUAGGAAAGCAGUUACCAGAAUCUAGGGAGGGGCAGAGAAAUGGGUACAAAAUUAUAAAUAGGCAGGAAAAAUAAGCGCUAGUGUUCUAAUUCUUUAGUAGGAUGAAUAUAAUAAUAAUGUAUUAUGUAUACCAAA
rnacentral:lncRNA from 1 species